rnacentral:rRNA from 1 species
AGCGAACGCUGGCGGCAGGCUUAACACAUGCAAGUCGAACGGUCCUUUCGGGGACAGUGGCGGACGGGUGAGUAACACGUGGGGAUGUGCCUUUAGGUUCGGAAUAACUCAGGGAAACUUGAGCUAAUACCGGAUGUGCCCUUCGGGGGAAGGAUUUAUCGCCUUUAGAGCAGCCCGCGUCUGAUUAGCUUGUUGGUGAGGUAAAGGCUCACCAAGGCGACGAUCAGUAGCUGGUCUGAGAGGAUGGCCAGCCACACUGGGACUGAGACACGGCCCAGACUCCUACGGGAGGCAGCAGUGGGGAAUCUUGCGCAAUGGGCGAAAGCCUGACGCAGCCAUGCCGCGUGGAUGAUGAAGGUCUUAGAUUAGUAAAUCCUUUCACCGGGACGAUAAUGACGGUACCGGAGAAGAAGCCCCGGCUAACUUCGUGCCAGCAGCCGCAGUAA